CUAUGUCUCUGCCCCUCUCUCUGUGUCUCUCAUGAAUAAAUAAAUAAAAUCUUUAAAAAUAAAGAAACCUAAAAAAAUAAAAUAAAGAGACCUGAAGAGGUUUGCUUGAAUAUGGUUUUCUUCCAUGUUCUUUCUUCCUUCCUGAUGUUCUAAAAUUCCUUCCUUUAUUAUAUCUUUUCUUUUGAGGGAAUUCAAUUGGUGACAAAUUCUCUUUAUUUUCUCUUUCUGAAAAUAUCUGGUUUUCCUCUUCAUUCCAGAAGGAUAUUUUUAUUAGCUAUAGGUUUCUGAAUUGAUGUUUCUUUUCAUUAUGCAUUUGGAAAAUAUGUCACUUUCUUCUGGUCUCCAUGGUUUCUUACAAGAAAUUGCUGUUAUUCAAAUUAUUUUUCUACUUUGUAUAUGUCAUCUUUCUUUGUCUUUAAUUUCCAGAUAGUCAUUUAUGUGUUUUGAGAUUCAAUCACUUUUUGAAUUACCCUCACAAUACUACAAAUUAUCUCCCACAUAUUACUCCAGAGGGCAAUAGUAGGUUUGUAGCUUGAUAAAUAUGGGAAAUUUCAUUCAUUAUUUCUUUGAGUACUUUUUCAGUUCUACCUCCCGCCCCCAUCUUGUGAUUUCUGUGAAGUGAAUAUUAUAUCAUUUGUUAUAAUCUGUUCUUAUUCAUUUUGUUUCUAGUCUGUUUUCUCUUUGUCAUUCAGAUUGGGUAAUGUCAAUUUUUUUUUUAUCUGCCACUUUACUUAUUCUUCCUUUAUUGCUUAUAUCCUGCUAUUGAAUCUAUUCACCAAACUUUUUAUUUCUUUCAUAUUUUUCAGUUCCAAAAUUUCCACUUGAUUCUACUUUGUAUCUUCUAUUUCCUUUCUGAGCCUCUCUGAUGCAUUGCCAAAUUUUUUAUGUUUGUUUCUAAUGUGUUCAUAAUUACUUGUUGAUGCAUUUUUAUAAUAAACAUUUUAAAAUAUAAGAUAAUUCUAACAUCUCUGUCAUCUAUUGUUUGGUGGUUUGAAUUGAUUUUGAAACUCCUUGGUUCUUGGUACAGCAGUGAUUUUUGAUUGAAACAUAAACAUUUGUGUAUUAUGUUAUGGGACUCUAGAUCUUAAUUAAAUCUUAUAUUUUAGCUGACUUUUACUGAUAUCACUGCAAUAGGAGAAAGAGAAUGCCACAUCAUAACUGUGAGAUAGAUAGGAGUUUUGGUUCCCGUUGGCCUACAUGAUUCUUAAGUGUGGGCCUCCUGAUUACUGCUGGGUAGAAAUUGGAGUUCUGAUUCUCAGUGUAGUCUACAAUGACAUGAUAGUGCAAUUAUCCUCAUCACUGCUGGGGAAUGGUGAAAUUCUUAACUCUGGGAAUCAAGAAUCUUCAUGGUCUCCGGAGACACCACAUAUGAAGUCUUGUUGCCAACUGAUGGAGAUGAAAAUAUUGGCUUCCUACUUGAUCUUACGUGACACUACCCUAGUGAGGAGCUCAAGCAUUUCAUGAUAGUUUUAUAAGAGUGGAUAUCUAGGCUUCCUACUCGGCUUUUGUUGAUGUGGUUGAGUAGGGGGGGUCACAAUUUUGCUAUGGUGUUUACCUGAUUUAAAGCAAUUAUUUUCUAAAGGUCUUGCUAAGCUGUCCCUUCCCUUGUCCUUUUGCUAAAGAGAGUAUCCUUUUGUUGGUGCUUAUUUUAUGUUUAGUAGGUAUUUUUAGGAUGCUAGCUUCUUUAGCUCCAUGUCUGGGAUAUAUGAAGAAAAAGAAGCACACACACACAGAGAACUUAUCACCUUGUUAUUCCUCAGUUCCUGAUAUUUUUAAGAGGUCUGUUUUUUUUUUUCACUUAAAUUUUUUUCUUCAUAUGUUUGUUUUACAUGUAAUGUCCAGGUGUUUUAGUUGUACUUAACAAAGAAUUAGGAAAAAGUACAUCUGUUCUGUGUUUCUUAAACAAAGUCUCAAUUUCAUUUUUAAACAUCGGAAAAUCUGUUUUCGAAGAUCUAAGCCACAAGUGUAUAUCUUUUGUCUUUCUCACCAUUUCUCUUCUCCAAAAUUCCUUCAGGGUUCCUGGAACAUUUUAGAAAUGUCAUAUCCAAAAUAUUCCAGAAUAUAAUAUGUUCAGGCAUCCACAGAGGUGAUGAUGGAGAGAGGUUUGGGCUAUCCAUAUAUACUUUUGAAUCAAUUUCUCACUUGACAUCCUUUUGCAUAAAAAAACUGAAGAAAUUAUUAUAAUUUUAGAUAUGUUGGAGAAGUUAUGAGGUUGAACACUCAGGGGACACUCAUAAAUACUACCUCACCUGGAUACUUUCAAGAAUGAAAUGAGGCAUUUGUAAUAAUUAGGCAGAGAAAACAGGCAUAAACCAGCAAUGUUACAGG